rnacentral:tRNA from 1 species
UAGGGAGUGGUGUAAUGGGAGCACUUGGAGUUUUGAGCUCUUAAGAAGGGGUUCGAGCCCCCUCUCUCUAA